CCUACGGGGAGCAGCAGUGGGGAAUAUUGGACAAUGGGGGGAACCCUGAUCCAGCGACGCCGCGUGAGUGAAGAAGUAUUUCGGUAUGUAAAGCUCUAUCAGCAGGGAAGCAAGAAAUGACGGUACCUGACUAAGAAGCCCCGGCUAACUACGUGCCAGCAGCCGCGGUAAUACGUCGGGGGCAAGCGUUAUCCGGAUUUAUUGGGUUUAAAGGGUGCGUAGGCGGGCUGUUAAGUCAGCGGGAAAAGCCCGGGGCUCAACCCCGGCGAGCCGUUGAAACUGGCUGUCUUGAGAAGUCGAGAGGUAUGCGGAAUGCGCAGUGUAGCGGUGAAAUGCUUAGAUAUUGCGCAGAACUCCGAUUGCGAAGGCAGCAUACCGGCGGCGAUCUGACGCUGAGGCACGAAAGCGUGGGUAUCGAACAGGAUUAGAUACCCCUGUAGUC
rnacentral:rRNA from 1 species